rnacentral:rRNA from 1 species
UACGUAGGGGGCAAGCGUUGUCCGGAUUUAUUGGGCGUAAAGAGCGUGUAGGCGGCUAGGUAGGUCCGUUGUGAAAACUCGAGGCUCAACCUCGAGACGCCGGUGGAAACCAUCUAGCUAGAGUCCGGAAGAGGAGAGUGGAAUUCCUGGUGUAGCGGUGAAAUGCGCAGAUAUCAGGAAGAACACCCGUGGCGAAGGCGGUUCUCUGGGACGGUACUGACGCUGAGACGCGAAAGCGUGGGGAGCGAACAGG